CCAGAGACGCGCAAGAAGGAUGGGAAUGGUGGUUCAGUAAUUUGGUCUCAUCGCGUGCGAUCUAUUGGAGGUUACUGACGGCUUGAGUUCUGAUCAGUUCCUGCUUGGACGCCAGAUUAUCCGCCAAACUGGUAGACAGCAGCAGGGCGGCAUUUCGGUGAUUUGAAGCAAAGCUUAUCUCCCUGUGGAACAAGUUGUGCUGCGUGAGCCACGAAAAUAUCCUACUGAAAGGUUAGAUCCACUUGUAGUUACAAAUGCAUUGGAGUUUGUAUACCAUAGUGUUUUUUUUCUUCAUUGUAACUUUUAGAUGGUGUGGCAACGUUAGAUGCAUCAUUUUAGAUACUGGCAUUGGGUUCAGAUGGAAGCUCAGCAUAUUCCUCUCUGUAUAGGAUGCAGCCAUUGAGGCAUGCAUGUAUCUGUAUAUAAUCGGAUUCCAGAUCUACCAUAGUCUUCUUUACCUCACUGUAUCACUUGGGAACCCUAUUACUGUUAACAUAGAAAAUAGAGCAUCCAUUGCAUCUGCACCGAGGUCGACGUUAAACAUUUGUUUAAGUGACUCUGAAUGGUCGUUGUUGUUAUGUAACAUGGUCUGACACGCGAUAGAUAUACUAGUUAUCUUAGAGACUUAAACCCAAUAAUUGUAGAUGGUCAGCUCUUGCCAGUUGUUGUUAUGAUCGUUGUUGUUAUGUAACAUGCUUGGUCUGACACACGAUUGAAAUACUAGUUAUCUUAAAGACUUAAAUCUAAUGAUUGUGGAUAGUCAGCUCUUGCCAGUUGGAAGAAAGGAACUAACGAAGCAUCUACCAUUAAGUAAUAACAAAUGAUUAAUUAUGUUCUUUAGUGACUUGCAGCCCCACAAAACCAUGUGAGAAGGUGAGUUCCCAAGUCUUAACCAGCCAUUGUUCUAGAGACACGCGAGAAGGAUGGGAAUAGUUCCAUAAUUUGGUCUCAUC